rnacentral:pre_miRNA from 2 species
AUAGUAUUCCCUCUGUCCGGAAUUACUUGCCGCAAAAAUGGAUGUAUCUAGACGCAUUUUUAGUUCUAGAUACAUCCAUUUCUACGAGAAAUAAUUCAGGACAUAGGGAGUAUUAU